rnacentral:sRNA from 1 species
UUUUUAGUUCUUUUUUUUUGGUUUU